UACGUAGGGGGCAAGCGUUGUCCGGAUUUAUUGGGCGUAAAGAGCGUGUAGGCGGCCGUACAGGUCAGCUGUGAAAACUCGAGGCUCAACCUCGAGACGUCGGUUGAAACCGUAUGGCUAGAGUCCGGAAGAGGAGAGUGGAAUUCCUGGUGUAGCGGUGAAAUGCGCAGAUAUCAGGAGGAACACCGAUUGCGAAGGCAGCUCGCUGGGACGUAACUGACGCUGAGACGCGAAAGCGUGGGGAGCAAACAGG
rnacentral:rRNA from 1 species